rnacentral:rRNA from 2 species
CUGGCUCAGAAUGAACGCUGGCGGCAGGCCUAACACAUGCAAGUCGAGCGAAGUCUUCGGACUUAGCGGCGGACGGGUGAGUAACGCGUGGGAACGUGCCCUUUGCUUCGGAAUAGCCCCGGGAAACUGGGAGUAAUACCGAAUGUGCCCUACGGGGGAAAGAUUUAUCGGCAAAGGAUCGGCCCGCGUUGGAUUAGGUAGUUGGUGGGGUAAUGGCCUACCAAGCCGACGAUCCAUAGCUGGUUUGAGAGGAUGAUCANGCCACACUGGGACUGAGACACGGCCCAGACUCCUACGGGAGGCAGCAGUGGGGAAUCUUAGACAAUGGGCGCAAGCCUGAUCUAGCCAUGCCGCGUGAUCGAUGAAGGCCUUAGGGUUGUAAAGAUCUUUCAGGUGGGAAGAUAAUGACGGUACCACCAGAAGAAGCCCCGGCUAAUACC